rnacentral:rRNA from 1 species
AACGAACGCUGGCGGCGUGGCUAAGGCAUGCAAGUCGAACGGACCUAGGUCUUCGGAUUUAGGUUAGUGGCGAACGGGUGAGGAAUGCAUGGAUAACGUACCCUGGACUCGGGAAUAGCGGCGGGCUUCGGCCCUUUAGCGAAAGCGCCGGUAAUACUCGAUAACCCCGCGGAACCGCAUGGUUUUGCGGGCAAAGCCCCGACGGUCCAGGAGCGGUUCAUGUCCUAUCAGCUUGUUGGUGGGGUAACGGCCUACCAAGGCGGCGACGGGUAGCGGGCGUGAGAGCGCGACCCGCCACAUCGGGACUGAGACACUGCCCGGACACCUACGGGUGGCUGCAGCAACGAAUAUUCCGCAAUGGACGCAAGUCUGACGGAGCGACGCCGCGUGCAGGAAGAAGUCCCUCGGGAUGUAAACUGCUGUCAGGGGUGAGGAAUAACUUGACCAACCCCAGAGGAAGCACUGGCUAACUCCGUG